rnacentral:rRNA from 1 species
UACGUAGGCAGCAAGCGUUGUUCGGAGUUACUGGGCGUAAAGGGUGCGUAGGCGGUUUUCUAAGUCUGGUGUGAAAUCUCCCGGCUCAACUGGGAGGGUGCGCCGGAAACUGGGAGGCUAGAGUGUGGGAGAGGAGAGUGGAAUUCCUGGUGUAGCGGUGAAAUGCGUAGAUAUCAGGAGGAACACCGGUGGUGUAGACGGCUCUCUGGACCAUUACUGACGCUGAGGCACGAAAGCGUGGGUAGCAAACAGGAUUAGAAACCCCCGUAGUCC